CCCGUCACAUCAUGAAAGCCGUUUGCACCCGAAGUCCAUGUGUCAACCGCAAGGAGAUAGUGGCCGAAGGUGUGGAUGGUGAUUGGGAUG
rnacentral:rRNA from 1 species